CAGCAGCCGCGGUAAUACCGGCGGCCCGAGUGGCGGUUACUAUUUUUUGGCUUAAAGCGUCCGUAGCCGGGUUGGGAAGUCCUCCGGGAAAUCUGGCCGCUUAACGGUCAGAAUGCCGGAGGAUACUCCCAGCCUAGGGAGCGGGCGAGGCCGAGGGUAUUCCCGGAGUAGGGGUGAAAUCCUAUAAUCCCGGGAGGACCACCUGUGGCGAAGGCGCUCGGCUGGAACGCGUCCGACGGUGAGGGACGAAGGCCAGGGGAGCAAACCGGAUUAGAUACCCGGGUAGUCCUGGCGGUAAACGAUGCGGACUUUGUGUCGGACAAGCUAUGAGCUUGUCCGGUGCCGGAGGGAAACCGUUAAGUCCGCCGCCUGGGGAGUACGGCCGCAAGGCUGAAACUUAAAGGAAUUGGCGGG
rnacentral:rRNA from 1 species